UACGUAGGGAGCAAGCGUUGUCCGGAAUCAUUGGGCGUAAAGCGCGCGUAGGUGGCCCUGUAAGUCCGUUGUGAAAGUCAAAGGCUCAACCUUUGAAAGCCGAUGGAUACUGCAGGGCUAGAGUACGGAAGAGGCGAGUGGAAUUCCUGGUGUAGCGGUGGAAUGCGCAGAUAUCAGGAGGAACACCGGUGGCGAAGGCGGUUCUCUGGGAAUGUCCUGACGCUGAGGAGCGAAAGUGUGGGGAGCGAACAGG
rnacentral:rRNA from 1 species